CCGCCCCUUUCCCCCUAUCCACUUCCGCCUCUCUGAUUUGCUUCUUCAAAUCCUCCCUGGGGCUCCCUCCCCUCUAAGCUUUCUCUUAUUCCCGCGGAGCUUAUUUCUGGAGUUGUUAUCCCUUCUCUGGAAAGGAAGAAACCAUAAAGUGCAGAAAUGGAGCUAAGCGGAGUCUAAGCUGUGCAGGGAAUGAGUGUUGAUGAGUCAUCCCCCCACUUACCCUUGGAAAUACCUUUGCCAGAAAGGUAUUCACCUAUCAGGUGACUGGACCGAGAUUGAUGAAUACUGAGUGAGGGGUUGGACAUGUAACUAUCAGGAGAAUGGAGAAUUUUGCCCGAGUACAGGAGGACGGACUAGAUUCCCAACUGUGCUUACAAUUUCCUGAGGGUGAACUAAGCAAAGUCAGAAUAAGGAACCAAAAGGGAACUGGACCUACAUCCUGCUCCACUGGUCACUGAACUUAUCAGUCCGGGCUAUUUUGAUUUCAUAGAGACCUGAGAGACUUACAUGAACUGAUGCUGAGUGAAAUGAGCAGAACAAGAAAGUCAUUAUACAUGGCCACAACAAGACUAUACGAUGAUCAAUUCUGAUGGACGAGGCUCUCCUCAACAGUGAAAUGAUUUAAACCAGAUCCAAUUGUUCAGUGAUGAAGAGAGUCAUCUAUAUCCAAAGGACAGUGGGAAAUUGCUCAUGAGAUUUGUUGCCUCUAGGCUCCGAGCUGCAAAGCCCCAGCUUCUCUAACAACCUGGAGAUCCUGAGACAAGUGAUGUGGAAACUCCACAUCCACUGGCCACUGUGGCUGCUGCUUUCAGAUCUGGCUUCUCUCCCCAAGCACCACUCCCCCUUCCCCCACCCUCUAUGGCCAUUUCCAGCAGGAAGUAGCUACAGAAGAUCUGAGACCUCUGACCCUUUUGCAAAAGAAUCUGUGCUUUUUAUUUGAGGUGGGAGAAGAGACAGCCCUGUAAAGUUAUGUAAAAUCACCAACAAAAAGUUAUACAAGCUUAAAUGGACUUACAUUCUCUGGAACCAGGAAAAAUUUCCAGAGAAUGUACCUUUUCAUAUACAAACUUGAGCGGUCUUGCCUGUUCUGUUCUAUUUCUGUAUAAAGUAGGCCUUCAGAAAAUGUCUUUGCAAAAUCAAUGCUCUCUUGAGAAUGAUAUUGUCCCCAGGAGGGCUAUCUUGGUGUCUUUCUAACA